GAUGAACGCUGGCGGCGUGCCUAAUACAUGCCAGUCGAACGCACAGCGAAAGGUGCUUGCACCUUUCAAGUGGGUGGCGACCGGGUGAGUAACACGUGGACAACCUGCCUCAAGGCUGGGGUUAACAUUUGGAAACAGAUGCUAAUACCGAAUAUAACUUAGUGUCCCAUGACACAAAGUUAAAAGGCGCUUUGGCGUCACCUAGAGAUGGAUCCGCGGUGCAUUAGUUAGUUGGUGGGGUAAAGGCCUACCAAGACAAUGAUGCAUAGCCGAGUUGAGAGGGUGAUCGGCCACAUUGGGACUGAGACACGGCCCAAACUCCUACGGGAGGCAGCAGUAGGGAAUCUUCCGCAAUGGGCGAAAGCCUGACGGAGCAACGCCGCGUGUGUGAUGAAGGCUUUCGGAUCGUAAAGCACUGUUGUAUGGGAAGAACAGCUAGGAUAGGAAAUGAUUUUAGUUUGACGGUACCAAACCAGAAAGGGACGGCUAAAUACGUG
rnacentral:rRNA from 1 species